UUCCGGUUGAUCCUGCCGGAGGCUACCGCUAUUGGAGUUCGAUUAAGCCAUGCGAGUCGCGAGACUUAGAAUCUCGGCGUACCGCUCAGUAACACGUGGGUAACCUGCCCUAUGCUAGGGGAUAACCUCGGGAAACUGAGAAUAAUACCCUAUAGUUCACCACGCCUGGAACGGUGGGUGGAUGAAAGCUCCGGCGGCAUAGGAUGGGCCUGCGGCGUAUCAGGUUGUAGGGGGUGUAAUGUACCCUCUAGCCAUCUACGCGUACGGGUGUUGGGAGACAUCGCCCGGAGAUGGAUUCUGAGACACGAAUCCAGACCCUACGGGGUGCAGCAGGCGCGAAAACUUGGCAAUGCGAGAAAUCGUGACCAGGGAACUCCAAGUGCAUCGGGUAAGACCGAUGCUUUUCUUGACUCUUCAAAGGUCUUGGAAUAAGGGGUGGGUAAGGACGGUGCCAGCCGCCGCGGUAAUACCGGCGCCUCAAGUGGUAGUCGCUUUUAUUGGGCCUAAAACGUCCGUAGCCGGUUUGGUACAUUCGUGGGUAAAUCAAGGCGCUCAACGUCUUGAAUUCUGCGAGCACGGCCAGACUUGGGACCGGGUGAGGUGUGGGGUACUCUCAGGGUAGGGGUAAAAUCCUGUCAUCCUGAGAGGACCACCUGUUGCGAAGGCGCCACACUAGAACGGAUCCGACGGUCAGGGACGAAGCCUAGGGGCACGAACCGGAUUUGAUACCCGGGUAGUCCUAGGUGUAAACGCUGUGGACUUGAUGUUGGGAGUGCUCCGAGCACCCUCAGUGUCGAAGCGAAGGUGAUAAGUCCACUGCCUGGGGAGUACGGUCGCAAGGCUGAAACUUAAAGGAAUUGGCGGGGGAGCACUGCAACCUGAGGAUUGUGCGGUUUAAUUGGACUCAACGCCGGGA
rnacentral:rRNA from 1 species